rnacentral:rRNA from 1 species
AUACGGAGGGGGUUAGCGUUGUUCGGAAUUACUGGGCGUAAAGCGCACGUAGGCGGACUGGAAAGUUGGGGGUGAAAUCCCGGGGCUCAACCCCGGAACUGCCUCCAAAACUUCCAAUCCAGAGAUCGAGAGAGGUGAGUGGAAUUCCAAGUGUAGAGGUGAAAUUCGUAGAUAUUUGGAGGAACACCAGUGGCGAAGGCGGCUCACUGGCUCGAUACUGACGCUGAGGUGCGAAAGCGUGGGGAGCAAACAGGAUUAGAAACCCCAGUAGUCC